rnacentral:rRNA from 1 species
GAUGAACGCUGGCGGCGUGCCUAAUUCAUGCAAGUCGAGCGAACAGACGAGGAGCUUGCUCCUUUGACGUUAGCGGCGGACGGGUGAGUAACACGUGGGUAACCUACCUAUAAGACUGGGAUAACUUCGGGAAACCGGAGCUAAUACCGGAUAAUAUUUCGAACCGCAUGGUUCGAUAGUGAAAGAUGGCUUUGCUAUCACUUAUAGAUGGACCUGCGCCGUAUUAGCUAGUUGGUAAGGUAACGGCUUACCAAGGCAACGAUACGUAGCCGACCUGAGAGGGUGAUCGGCCACACUGGAACUGAGACACGGUCCAGACUCCUACGGGAGGCAGCAGUAGGGAAUCUUCCGCAAUGGGCGAAAGCCUGACGGAGCAACGCCGCGUGAGUGAUGAAGGUCUUCGGAUCGUAAAACUCUGUUAUUAGGGAAGAACAAACGUGUAAGUAACUGUGCACGUCUUGACGGUACCUAAUCAGAAAGCCACGGCUAACUACGUG